CAGGUUUACCUGUGUGACUGCGUACCUUUUGUAUAAUGGGUCAGCGACUUAUAUUCUGUAGCAAGGUUAACCGUAUAGGGGAGCCGUAGGGAAACCGAGUCUUAACCGGGCGUUAAGUUGCAGGGUAUAGACCCGAAACCCGGUGAUCUAGCCAUGGGCAGGUUGAAGGUUGGGUAACACUAACUGGAGGACCGAACCGACUAAUGUUGAAAAAUUAGCGGAUGACCUGUGGCUGGGGGUGAAAGGCCAAUCAAACCGGGAGAUAGCUGGUUCUCCCCGAAAGCUAUUUAGGUAGCGCCUCGUGAAUUCAUCUCCGGGGGUAGAGCACUGUUUCGGCUAGGGGGCCAUCCCGGCUUACCAACCCGAUGCAAACUGCGAAUACCGGAGAAUGUUAUCACGGGAGACACACGGCGGGUGCUAACGUCCGUCGUGAAGAGGGAAACAACCCAGACCGCCAGCUAAGGUCCCAAAGUCAUGGUUAAGUGGGAAACGAUGUGGGAAGGCCCAGACAGCCAGGAUGUUGGCUUAGAAGCAGCCAUCAUUUAAAGAAAGCGUAAUAGCUCACUGGUCGAGUCGGCCUGCGCGGAAGAUGUAACGGGGCUAAACCAUGCACCGAAGCUGCGGCAGCGACGCUGAUGCGUUGUUGGGUAGGGGAGCGUUCUGUAAGCCUG
rnacentral:rRNA from 2 species